rnacentral:rRNA from 1 species
UACGGAGGGGGCAAGCGUUGUUCGGAAUUACUGGGCGUAAAGGGCGCGCAGGCGGCUGCUCAAGUCAGGCGUGAAAGGCCUGGGCUCAACCCGGGAAUUGCGCUUGAGACUGGGCUGGCUUGAGUGCGGGAGAGGAUGGUGGAAUUCCCAGUGUAGAGGUGAAAUUCGUAGAUAUUGGGAAGAACACCGGUGGCGAAGGCGGCCAUCUGGACCGCAACUGACGCUGAGGCGCGAAAGCCAGGGGAGCAAAGCGGG